UCUGUAAAAUUUGAAUUCAGUCAAAAGGCUGCACUUCAGGACCCCAGGACCUUUACAUUUGAACAGUUAUUGUGCAUAAUUGCAGUUGUUCACAACCCUGUAACUUUCAGGACCAUGGUACCUCCUUUGCAUUACUGCGAGGGAUACUGUUUUCCUCCAAGGCCCCUUGUAGUGGACUGUUUUCACACAUAAUUGAAAUUUUCUGUCGUCUUCAUCAGUAGACUAAGGUCACACACCCUAGCCUUUCCUUUGCAGUACAGCAGGGUGUGCUGAUCAACCAAGGCCCUAUUCUUUGGGACUGUUAAUAUGCGCAAUUGUAUUAGCUCCUGUUUUGUGCACUAGAUAAGGAGCCCGCCUACUUUCUUAACAUUUUCAGUAGGUAGUGCCCACUACUCGAGACUCUUUCACCUGGAAAGUUCACGUGAGCAAACACAAUUUUCUAAGCAUGUCUUACACCAGAACCCUUCCUGUAUCCUCCUUGCUUUAGAGCAGGGGAUGUUGUUCACCUAGUGCCCCUUUUGGACUUUAAAGUGCAUUAAUGCAAUUCCCCAUCUCUUCUUUUGGACCAGGAUUUUAUCUCCUCAUAGCCCCUUUGGGUUAGGGGCAUGUUAACUAUGAAUGAUCCCUUCUCUUUUGAAUAUUAAUGUGCAUAAUUAUAUUUGUCUGUGGACCUGUAUAGUACAAAAGGACGCUGUGCUCCUGCCACUGCCUUUUUGAUUGCUGCUAAGGAGUGCUAAUUAUUCAUAACCUCAGCUCAUGGACAAUUAAUAUGCAACAAUGACAGUUAGCAAGAGUACUGAUCAUUGGAUAGAGCCCUGGCAUCCUCUUUGCAUAUAUCAUGGGUACUGACCAACUAAGGCCUCUUGGACUGGUAAUGUGAAUAUUUGCAAUUAUACAUGCCCCUUUCUGUUAAACUGGGAUAUUAUACCCUCUCACCCCCUUCGCAUUACCGCAGGGGCUGCUUCCUACCUAAAACUUCUCCUGGGACUGUUAAUAGACACAAUGGCAGUUAUCAGUGAUUUCUUCCUUUCCUAAAACUUUCCUGGGACUAUUAAUAGGCGCAAUGGCAAUUAUCGAUGGUUUUUUUCCUCCCUGGCCUUGUGGAGCAAGCAUCCCUCAGCCCCAGUUUCCCGUGGCAUAAUAAAGUAUAAACAUUGCAGUGUGCCAUGCACUUGUCCAUUCAAUAACCGCCCAUACUCCCACUCCUUUCGCAUUACUCCAGUGUAUAAAAUCCUAGGUAGCCAUGGUCUCACCCUUCAUACAAGGUCUUCCCUUUCCCUGCCCCUGUCUGCCCUUGGCCCCUUGUUAUGGGCUAUUAAUACUCACAGUCUCAGUUGUCCAUAUAUCCAGCCAUUAGAUAAGAUUGUGCUCCCUCUCUCUCCACUUCUUCCUGGCCCUGUCCCUUUGGCCUCUUUGCUGGGUAAUGUUGACUGAACAAAGCCCUUUUUCUUGCACUUAAAAAGUUAACAAUCCCAGACAUCAUUGGUUUACCCACCUUGUAUAGCUGUAAUGUCUCAAUUGCACUUUCCUUCGUCCUGCCCAUUAUGAACUCCUCUAUUUCCUUUGCACUGCUUCUGAGUAGUGCUGACUACCCAAAGCUCUCUCUGUGUUAUUUAAUGAACAGAAUACUAAUUGUCCCAUUUUUAAGCCCAUCAGUCCAAUGUCUCCCUACCACUUUGGUGUCUUUGUGCAGUAUUGACUAUCAAAAGCAGGCCUGAACUAGGUGGAUGAACCUUAACUCUUUUGCUUUCAUUUGUUAAUGAUCUCAAUUUAAAUUAUUGUCAGAUUCCGGGGACAGGAACUAUUCUUGCCCACCUCUGUUACUGCUUUGCUAUGCAAAAUACUCAAGGCAAGUCAGGCCCAGGAAGCUGGGUUGCUACCCUUUAUUUUAUGUUUUUAAUAUACAGUAUGAAAUUGUCUCCCCAGCAAGGAAGGUUAGCACUUUUUCUGCAUUCUUCCUUCAAGAGGAGAUUGCCUGGUUAAAAAUCUCUCCUUGUCUCCUUUGUAUAUUGCUAUUGUAUAGUGCCAGUUGCUAGGAUACAACCAGAAAAGUUGCUCUUGAUUUUUUUAUCUUUUACGAAAGACAUCUAGAUCGCAAGGUGGAAUUGAUAACCUGGUCAUUUUUUUUAACCCCCCCACAUCCAUUUAUGUUAUGUAGCUGAUGACUAGUGUAUCUCAUUUACUGAGGGUGGUGGGUCUGUAGGUAGACCACAGUCACUCUUGCUAUUUUAAUAUUAUCAAAGGAGUUCCAGAAUGGAACUCUUCAGACUAGUAUCUUUGUUUGGGCUGUACCACCAUUUUAGAAGCAAUCCUUGUUUGAGCUUUAACACCAUUCACUUUAAGAAAAAUGACCUACACUUUCUAAUCCUUAAAUUUCUUCAUCUGGAGCACCAGCCUCUACUUAUUUCAAGAAGAAUGCUGUAAAAGGAUUAAGGGAGAGAAUAUAUGCAGAGGCGCUUUUAAGAAGCAUAGGUCACCUUGUUUGAUUAAUCUAUUAUAUAAAAUGAACCAUUUAAUUAUGCUAUUAAUUUGAAGUAGUUUGAAACACCACCCUGAAGUGAGUACUUAUCUGAGAAAUGAUGAAAUCAGUUUGCCCAUUUUAUAAGAAAAAUGACCUAAGAUCUAACAAUUUAUAUUUCCACAGUGAGAGAUAGCUGCGUAGUAAAAAUGAAUUAAUAUCCCAGCCUCUAGUGUACAGGGUGUUUAUGGCAAAGGAGCAUUUAAUAUGGAAUUGCUGAAGCAAAUAACUAGUCAACGCAACAGCAGUUCUUUUUAAUUGCUUGAAAGGGAUACCAUUUCUCUGAGAAGGAUGUCAAAAGAUUGGCCCAGCUCAGGGUGCAGUUUCCACUACUAGCUCCUUGGACUGCUGUAAGAAGAGUCUCUGGCUCUAUAGAAUACUGGAUGAAUUUAGAGGCGGUUCCGUACCACGACUCAAGAGGAAUGAUGGCUUGAUUUUAGGUGGAUUGCUGCCUCUUAGAUAGCAUCCAAAGGACAUUCUGAACACGUGAAACCUGAGAACUGCAAGCAGCUGUAAGAGGCUCCAAAUUCAGCAGAUCUUUCCUUUUGAGAAUCUGGGACAAGCUCUAGCUAAUCUGAGCGGAUGGCUUGCAAGCCACCUGGAGAAAAAGAUCUUCCUCUGAAGAAUAGGCUUGUUGCUUUACAGUGUUAGUGACCCAUUCCCUUUGACGAUCCCUCGGUGGAGAUGGGGCAUGAGGAUCCUCCAGGGGAAAGGCUCACUACCACUGGGCAACAACCCUAGGUCAGGAGGUUCUACCAAGAUACUUUUCUGGGCCCAGAUAGGAAGAUGAAGUCUUGAAGGCAACUGCCACAUGUCAAGGAGAACAUGGACAACUGCCACAUCAACGACACUGAUCUCAUGGGCGAAUAGUUCUGUUCCAUCUUGUCCUCAAAGUCUCCUUGAGGCCUAAAGGAGAACUUUGUCAAUCAUUUACAUAUAAGAUGCCUUGGGAUGUCCAUGGGAUAUAACACACAAGAAGCUGUUUGAGAAGAUAAAUAAGAGUUGUAUCUUUUUAUGCUGUGUUUGCUGAUUGAUGGGCACCUCAUAAUCACAAAUGGAAACCUGACCAAAGUUUUCUGUCAUCAGGCAAGAUCUGAAGAACCGGGACCCUACAUUCUCUAGCUCUUGAUUGUUCCCUUCAUAUUUGCCAAAUCAUUAUCCUUCCCAGAAGCAGUGGAGAGAGUUGGGUUUUCAGCAGGAACAAGAAAUUUGAACACUCCAAAGGAACUCAGCCUUCCCAUCUGAAGAUCAACAUGUGCCUGGCACUCUAGCACUUUAGAAUAGCAGAAUGAAUGUGUAUUCCUUUGCUUAUUUCUUCCUUGAGUGUCUUUGCUCUUUGUUCUCUGUCUACAGUGUCUUACCCAUUUCCAUGUUUUCUCUUGCUAAUUUCUUCUGUGUGUGCCUUUGCCCCAUUUUCUCUUUGUUCUCAUGGGUGUUCUGUGCCUUCGCUUAGAUGUAUGUCAUUUUUUCAUUUUGUUGCUCUGGCUCUUUGCUCUCCUAGAUCUCGCUCUUCUUUCACUCUUUCUUCCUUUUGUGUCUCUUCUUUGGGUCACAUGCUCUGUGCUUUUUGUGGUUUUCUUGUUCUGCCUGCCUCUCUUCUUUUUCUCUUUGU